rnacentral:sRNA from 1 species
GCUGGGCGUGGUGGCACAUGCCUGUAAUCCCAGUGGCUCAGGAGGCUGAGACAGGAGGAUCGUGAAUUCAAAGUCAGCCUCAGCAAAAGCGAGGCGCUAAGCACCUCAGUGGGACCCUGUCUCUA